rnacentral:rRNA from 1 species
AAUAUUGGGCAAUGCCCGCAAGGGUGACCCAGCAACGCCGCGUGGAGGAUGAAUGUCGUAAGAUUGUAAACUCCUGUUAGAGGGGAAGAAUAGUACCGGUUGGACCGGUAUAUGACUGUACCCUCAGAGAAAGCCCCGGCUAACUACGUGCCAGCAGCCGCGGUAAUACGUAGGGGGCAAGCGUUGUCCGGAUUUACUGGGUGUAAAGGGCGCGCAGGCGGGAUAAAAAGUCAGUGGUGAAAUCCUACAGCUUAACUGUAGAACUGCCUUUGAUACUUUUAUUCUUGAGUUCGGGAGAGAGAGACGGAAUUCCAGGUGUAGUGGUGAAAUACGUAGAUAUCUGGAAGAACACCAGUUGCGAAGGCGGUCUCUUGGUCCGACACUGACGCUGAGGCGCGAAAGCGUGGGGAGCAAACA